rnacentral:rRNA from 1 species
UACGAAGGGGGCUAGCGUUGCUCGGAUUUACUGGGCGUAAAGGGCGCGUAGGCGGACAGUUUAGUCAGAGGUGAAAGCCCGGGGCUCAACCCCGGAACUGCCUUUAAGACUGCAUCGCUUGAAUCCGGGAGAGGUGAGUGGAAUUCCGAGUGUAGAGGUGAAAUUCGUAGAUAUUCGGAAGAACACCAGUGGCGAAGGCGGCUCACUGGACCGGUAUUGACGCUGAUGUGCGAAAGUGUGGGGAGCGAACAGG